GGGUCCUUAGCUCAGUUGGUUAGAGCGUCUGCCUUUUAAGCAGGUGGUCGUGGGUUCGAUUCCCACAGGACCCA
rnacentral:tRNA from 1 species